rnacentral:rRNA from 1 species
UUCCGGUUGAUCCUGCCGGAGGUUACUGCUAUCGAGGUUCGACUAAGCCAUGCGAGUCGAAUGUAGCAAUACAUGGCGUACUGCUCAGUAACACGUGGACAACCUACCCUUGAGACGGGGAUAAACCCGUGAAACUGGGUAUAAUACCCGAUAGAUCUCGAAUGCUGGAAUGCAUCGAGAUCCAAAGCUCCGGCGCUCAAGGAUGGGUCUGCGGCCUAUCAGGUAGUAGUGGGUGUAGCGCACCUACUAACCUACGACGGGUACGGGUUGUGAGAGCAAGAGCCCGGAGAUGGAUUCUGAGACACGAAUCCAGGCCCUACGGGGUGCAGCAGGCGCGAAAACUUUACAAUGCCGGCAACGGCGAUAAGGGGACCUCGAGUGCCAGGUUACAAAUCUGGCUGUCGUGAUGCCUAAAAAAGCAUUGCAUAGCACGGGCCGGGGCAAGACCGGUGCCAGCCCGCCGCGGUAACACCGGCGGCUCGAGUGGUAACCGUUAUUAUUGGGUCUAAAGGGUCUGUAGCCGGCCGGAUAAGUCUCUUGGGAAAUCUGGCAGCUUAACUGUCAGGCUUUCAGGAGAUACUGUCUGGCUCGAGGCCGGGAGAGGUGAGAGGUACUUCAGGGGUAGGGGUGAAAUCUUGUAAUCCUUGAAGGACCACCAGUGGCGAAGGCGUCUCACCAGAACGGACCUGACGGCAAGGGACGAAAGCUAGGGGCACGAACCGGAUUAGAUACCCGGGUAGUCCUAGCCGUAAACGAUACUCGCUAGGUGUCGGCCACGGUGCGACCGUUGUCGGUGCCGUAGGGAAGCCGUGAAGCGAGCCACCUGGGAAGUACGGCCGCAAGGCUGAAACUUAAAGGAAUUGGCGGGGGAGCAC